GACGAACGCUGGCGGCGUGCUUAACACAUGCAAGUCGAGCGGUAAGGCCCUUUUGGGGGUACACGAGCGGCGAACGGGUGAGUAACACGUGGGUGACCUGCCCCUUACUCUGGGAUAAGCCUGGGAAACUGGGUCUAAUACCGGAUAGGACUUCAUGCUGCAUGGUGUGGGGUUGAAAGUUUUUUCGGUGGGGGAUGGGCCCGCGGCCUAUCAGCUUGUUGGUGGGGUGAUGGCCUACCAAGGCUUCGACGGGUAGCCGGCCUGAGAGGGCGUCCGGCCACACUGGGACUGAGACACGGCCCAGACUCCUACGGGAGGCAGCAGUGGGGAAUAUUGGACAAUGGGCGAAAGCCUGAUCCAGCAACGCCGCGUGAGGGAUGACGGCCUUCGGGUCGUAAACCUCUUUCAGCAGGGACGAAGCGCAAGUGACGGUACCUGCAGAAGAAGCACCGGCUAACUACGUGCCAGCAGCCGCGGUAAUACGUAGGGUGCAAGCGUUGUCCGGAAUUACUGGGCGUAAAGAGUUCGUAGGCGGUUUGUCACGUCGUUUGUGAAAACUCACAGCUCAACUGUGAGCCUGCAGGCGAUACGGGCAGACUUGAGUACUGCAGGGGAGACUGGAAUUCCUGGUGUAGCGGUGAAAUGCGCAGAUAUCAGAGGAACACCGGUGGCGAAAGCGGGUCUCUGGGCAGUAACUGACGCUGAGGAGCGAAAGCGUGGGGAGCGAACAGGAUUAGAUACCCUGGUAGUCCACGCCGUAACGGUGGGUACUAGGUGUGGGUUUCCUUCCUUGGGAUCCGUGCCGUAGCUAACGCAUUAAGUACCCCGGCCUGGGGAGUACGGCGCAAGGCUAAA
rnacentral:rRNA from 1 species